rnacentral:lncRNA from 1 species
UCCAUAUGGAGAUAACAGUCACUGAGACUUUAAGUUACUUUUUUAAAAAUUUAAUGUACUUUUUGAAAAUGUCUGAAAAUUCUAAAUGAGAUUAUAAAUCUCUGUUUCUAUAAUAGUUUAGGUGAAGUCCAAAUGGAGGUAUGUGGAUGAGCUCAUAUGCUCAUCUUUGGGUAAAUAUUCAACUGUAUGGAUGAAUGUAAAAAUCCAUUUGACAAUGUAUCAGUUUUUAAUUGUUGAAUCACUUAGCCAAUCAAUAGUCCAUAAAUACUAUAAAGAUCUGGUUCCUAAAACUUAAUGAAUUAUUGAAGAUUUACUUAAAGGGAAAUUUUUUUUUAAUCCCAUCUAAAAGUAAAAUCAAUUAUAAGCUUUUAAAAUAUCAGUCUUUUUUUUUUUUUCUUUUUAUGGCUGCACCUAUGGUAGACAGAAGUUCUUGGGCUAGUGGUUGAUUCUGAGCUGCAGCUGCUAGCCUGCACCACAGCCACAGCAACACAGGAUCCUAGCAGGAUCUUCGACCUACACCACAACUUGCUUGCUGGAAUGUCAGAUCGUUAACCAACCGAGCCAGGCCAGGGAUCAAACCUGCAUCCUCAUGGAUUCUAUGUUGGGUUCUUAACCUGCUGAACCACAACAGGAACAUGAAAAUACCACUUUUUGAAUAUGUUUCUGGAGUUGUGGGUGUGAGAAAUUGCCAGAGGCCAGCUCCGGCAGCCAGGGAGUGUAGGCUUUUUCCGGAAGAAGAUGGACGGACGUCGGCUUUUGCAUCAGAGACAGCCUCUUUGUCCCUCCUUUCAGGGUGCUGGACUACUCAAACUUUAUUGGCAACAGUGGUUGAUUAUAUAGACAAUUUUUCACUAUAGAUUACAUUACAGUGUUAAAAGUACGUUGGUUAACUAUUACAUGGUAUAGCAGCUAUGCAUCCAGUUUUAAGAUCUCUAACUUAACUAAGCUUAGUGAGUACUUUGAAGAGGCCAUAAAACACAAGAAUUCGGCAUUUACAAACUUUGUUUGUAGACUGGUGCUUAUCUUCAAAGUGUUAUGGCAGAGAGACAGUGUAGGUAAAUAUAAACCAACUUAAUUAAACUAGCUAUCACUAAAAAGCUUUUAAAAUCAAAGACAAAACUCACAGCUAGGUUUUUUGGAUAAGAUAUGGCUAACUUCUAUGGACCUCAUUAAAAUCCUAACUCUAAAGUUUACUAUAUAACUAGUUAAUAGAUAAACACUAUGUUUCAACUAAGUUGGAUUUAAAUAAGGGAAAGUCUUUCAGGAUGAAAUAUUUAUUAUACUAUUGUUGUAAUUUUGUUAAGUCACAAAUCACCACAGGACAAUAAGAAUGGGAAAUAAGAAUAAUAAGUAAAUAAUCAGGAAAGACUGAGAAAAACUGAAUAACAAAUAAAACAACAGGAAAGACUAGGUCAACCGAGAAACAAUCCAUGUUCUCCAGUGCAAACAUGGAAAUUGCUUUCCCAGGAAAGCCCCAAUUCUUCCCCAUCAACAUCAUAGUGAGAGCUGUGUAACCUGAGGCCUGCCCUCGGCUUGUACUGUACAGGCAGGCUUUCAUCCUGACCAGAGGCCCACCUUCGGCAUGCACCAUUCAGGUGAGCUUUUUUCCUGACCAAAAGCUCACCUUCGGCAUGUACCAUUCAGGUGGGCUCCCUCUCUUGGUUAAGAACCUGCCUUCAGGUUUUUCUGCCAUCAGGCAAGGUCCUUUUUUUGAGUCCCUGCAUUUUCUCGGCUCCCCGCAAGAAAUAAUGAAAAAAAGAAAGAAAAGCUAGUCCUAUUCAUUUUGAAAUUGGCACAGCUGCAGAGAUCACGGAGUUCUACUCCCUAAUUUAAAGGACCUAGAUGUGUAAAUGUUUUAACCAAAGUGUACCUCCAGUUGCUGUAGAAUUUUAUACAUUUGCAGAUUCUCUGAUCCCUUAGUCAGUGUACCUUGGAUAGAAAAAAGUGUAUAGAUGAGUUAACUUGAUGAUUAACUUACUCUGAAAAACACAAAGUAAAAAUAAAACACUAACAGCCACAGAUUCCAUGGACUUUGGCAGCAUUCCAGGUCAUUUGCAUCAGAUCUUCAUAUGUUAAAUAGAUUAUAAUAAAAAAGUCAGGUUGGUUUAUUGAAGAACUUCAUUUCACAAGUGAGCAAUAGGUAACCUGUUAAGUUGUAGUCUUACCAUGUGUUUGUGGACAUGAAAAAAAAUCAAACCAAUAUGUUGGUUAACUUUAUGGGAAUAAAUAAAAUUAGCCUGUGAUUAAAGUGUCCUACAGUUAUGGUUAUAUGCAUAUUAAUGCGUGUGUGUUAGAUUGGUCAUGCUUAGAAUAUCCUCAUUCCUGGCAUGAGGCUAAUAUCUGUACAUACCUGAUAUCAGCUAAUGCACUGUAAGGACCUGUAGCUUGGAUUCUGAUGUGUGUGUGUGUGUGUGUGUGUGUGAAUAUGAUAACAUCAUGACAGAAUUAAAAGGUAGAAUGUUUCUCCAAAUGGACUUUUAUGUAAGGAGACAAUAAAAAUCUGAAGUGUUUAGUUUUAUUUAUUUUUUUCUUUCAAAACUUUGUUAGGAAAAAAUAGGUUUAAACUAAGGCACAUUUUAUUGCAUUUUAAACCUAAUAUUUCUUUAUAAAAAUAUAUACAUUUAACGUUUUCAAACAUACAAAAAAUGUAUGGAUCCUCUUUGAUGGCAUUGCUUCUUUCUACUGGGUGUGAUGGACAUCACAGAUAGUACAGUGAUUAAACACAGGUUUUUGGUAUCAUAUGAUAUCACUUAUAUUUGGAACCUAAAAUAUGGCACAAAUGAACCUAUCUACAAAACAGAAACAGAUUCAAAGACAUGGAGAAUAGACUUGAGAUUGCCAAGGGAGAGAGAGGAGGGAGCGGGAUGGACUGGGAGUUUGGGAUUAGUAGAUACAAACUAUUACAUUUAGAAUGGAUAAGCAAUGAGGUCCCAUGCUUUAGCACAGGGAAUUAUAUCCAGUCUCCUAGGAUACACAUGUAUAACUGAGUCAGUUGGCUGAACAGAAAAAAAUUGGCACAACAUUGUAAACCAACUAUGCGUUAAUUAAAACAACAACAAAACCACAGGUAUUUGCGUAAACAUUUCCUAGGAUCCCAGUCCUUUAUUUGCCUUUUAGUGACUUCUUAAAACAUUAGUUGGUUUAUUUCAAUCAGUGGCUCUGUUUCCUCAUCUAUGAAAAGCGUAUAAUGACAUUUAUUGUGAGGAUUAAACAAGGUAACUCACAAAAAUGUUAGUGUACUUCCCAGGACACUGGAAGCAUUAAAUAAGUGUUAACUUUAUUAUUGUUCUGUUGUUAUAUUAUCAGUUGUUACAGGUACCAACAUAAUUUGAAUCAGUGCUCUCAAGCAAAGAAUUAGAGACAUUAGAGAAGCCUACAUAGGAUUGUAGCAGAGUGCCUCCACCCCUGCUCCAGAAUAGACAUUGUUCAAGAUAAGUUGCAUUUGUUAUCAGUUGAUCCUGAUUAGUUAUGGAUUUAUAGCACCAAGGGUCUGCCAUAGAUUUAGUGGUUGCUGGCUUGCAGAUUUCACCAGCUAUUUUGGAUACUGGAAUAAGAAAAUGGGAGUGCUUGCCAGACAGUACUUCCUAAUAAUGAAUUAUAUGUAACUCAUGCAUGAACAUUGAUCCAAAAGAUCUGGAGGAGAGAAUAGAGGAGAAACUAUAGUUUUGUAUCUUGGGUUUGUAACAUCAUAAAAUGAGGUCCUGCUGUAUAGCACUGGGAACUAUAUCUAGUCAUGUAUGAUGGAGCAUGAUAAUGUGAGAAAAAAGAAUGUAUACAUGUAUGUGUAACUGGGUCACCGUGCUGUACAGUAGAAAAUUGACAGACACUGUAAACCAGCUAUAAUGGACAAAAUAAAAAUCAUUAUAAAAUUUAAAAAAAAGAAUGAAAUAUUGUAGUGAGAUUGUAUGGGAAAUUAAGUCAGGUUGGAAAGUGAAACAUUUGACACACUAAAGAAAUUGUAAAGUAAUUCUUAAAGGCAUCUUUAUGAUGUAUAUAUAAUUUGGACAGAUCUAAAAUAAGUAUGUAAUUAGCUAAUAUUUAGAUAGUAAAGUAAAGGUUACUUUCACAGAAAAAUAUAGAACAGUCAACCUAAGUUAUGGGAAAUUAAACUAGUGUACAUUAGUUAAUUUGCCAUAUAGAACAUUAUAAUGCACACCUUAAUUCAAAUUACUGCUCUGCUGUAUUAUCUAUUAAUUUUUGUCACUAUGUAUUUAAAUAUAAAUUAGAAACGUCACGGUUUCAUUGCUACUUUAAAUAUAUAUAUAUAUAUGCUUGUAUAUUGUGAAUGCUUGCUGCCAUCCCUGAGUUUAUAUUUUAAGCAUCUUAUCAUACUAAGUUUGAAUUCCUUUAUUUAAAAACUUUUUGGUAAACGCCCCUAGUAAAGAAGUACUGUUGUUAAAGAGCAAUUUUUUUUAAUGGCCACGCACGUGACAUAUGGAAGUUCCAGGGCCAGGGAUUGAAUCCGAGCCGCAGAUGUGAUUUAAGCUUUAGCUGGAGCGAUACUGGCGACUUUAACCCACCAGGCUGGGGAUUAAACGUGCACCUCUGCAGUGACACAAGCCACUGCAGUUGGAUUCUUAACACACUGCACCACAGUAAGAACUCCUUUUUUUUUUAAUUAAAAAAAUUUAUAAAGUGCAAUUUUGAAGCCCAAGAUUAUGACCUUGAAAGGCACAUAUGAGAAAAAAAAUGUACUCCUUCUUGAAGAAAGUAUUUUGACUAUGGAUAUUUUGUUUGAUUCUACAAAGAUUAAUUUUGGUGCUUUCAACUUAUAGAUACUACUUUUCACAUGACAAAGAGCUGUAUAAUAACUUCACUUUCAUGUUUGUGGAGAUGGAUGGGCCAGUUUAUACACACAUGUAAGCAAAUAAACAAAGUAUUAUCACUGAUUAAAAUUCCCUUGAUUGUAGAUAGCAAUCAGAUUGUACUACUAUUUAUAUCUCCCAGCAACUAGGCUAUUUGUUGACUGAUGUUCACCUGAAGAUUAUGAUCUGCCCAUCAUUUCAAAUAACAUUUAUUGUUAUAUACAAAGGGUAGUUAAUAGACAUUUUUUUACUGGGAGAAAAAUCUGGUGAUUCCAAUUAUAUUGUAUUUUAGGAAUUUAGCUAUUUAUAAAAUAUUUUCUGUUUAUGUAUAUAUAUGUAUAUACAUAUAUAUAUAUAUAGUUUAUGUUGGGGCAAUAUCAGAUGGUAUGUUUAGACAUAGUCCCUGAGCUUGUUU